rnacentral:lncRNA from 1 species
UGGGUGUUCCUGUCCCCGUGUCCCCUGUCCCUGUCCCCACCCUGGUGCCAAAUCUCAAUGUCCCCAAACCGUGUCCUUGUCCCUGUCCCUGUGUGUGUGUCCCCAUCCCUCUGUCCCUGUCCCUGUGUCAAUCUCAAUGUCCCCAAACCGUGUCCCUGUCCCUGUCCCCAAACCCUGAUGGUGUCCCCAUGUCCUUGUCCCUGUGCCAGCGGCCUGGCCGGGCCUGAGGCCCUGUCCCCAUCCCUGUGUCCCUGUCCCUGUGUCCCUCUGUCCCUGUGUCCCUGUGUCCAUCCCUGUCCCCAUCCCUGUGUCCCUGUCCCUCAGUCCCUGUGUCCCUGUGUCCCUCUGUCCAUCCCUGUCCCCAUCCUGUUGUCCCUGUCCCUGUCCCCACCCUGGUGCCAAUCCCGAUGUCCCCGUGUAAAUCCCAAUGUCCCCAAACCGUGUCCUUGUCCCUGUCCCUGUCCCUCUGUCCCUGCUGUCCCUCUGUCCCUGCUGUCCCUCUGUCCAUCCCUGUCCCUGUCCCUCUGUCCCUGUCCCCACCCUGGUGCCAAUCCCGAUGUCCCCGUGUAAAUCCCAAUGUCCCCAGGCCCUGAUGGUGUCCCCGUGUCCUUGUCCCUGUGCCAGAGGCCUGGC